rnacentral:misc_RNA from 1 species
UUUCCGUAGGUGAACCUGCGGAAGGAUCAUUAUUGAAUAACCGAGGUGCGAGGGCUGUCGCUGACCCGACUGGCCGUGCACGUCCGAGUGCCCUCACACACAUCCAUCUCCCCCCUUUGUGCUCCUCCGCAUGGGUCCCCCUUUGGCUUGUCCGGGGGGGGGCUUACGUUUUCCCACAAACUUUGUAUGCAGUGUAGAAUGUAUUUUUUGUUUUUGUGAUCACGCAAUCAAUACAACUUUCAACAACGGAUCUCUUGGCUCUC